ensembl:lncRNA
UUCUGGUCCUGUCUGCUAGAGUAUUAGUUAUCCCUCUCAAUUUGGUGUCAUCUGCAAACUUGAUGAUCAUGCCUUCUAACCCUUCGUCUAAGUCAUUAAUAAAGAUGUUGAACAGAACUGGGCCCGGGACGGAACCCUGCGGCACUCCACUCGUCACUUCUUUCCAGGAUGAGGAGGAAGCAUUGAUAGGGACCACAUUUGCCCUCCUCCAAUCUGAUGGGACUUCUCCCGUUCUCCAAGAACUCUCAAAGAUGAUUGCCGGUGGUUCUGAAAUAGCAUCCACUAGUUCCUUCAAUACUCUUGGAUGUAGUUGAUCUGGCCCUGGGGACUUGAAUUCAUUUCGAAGAGGAUUAUGAAGCUACAUUCUGGAAUGACUUGAGAAACUGCAAGUCACUUCUGGUGUGAGGGAAUUGACCGUCUGCAAGGACAUUGCCCAAGGUCUCCUGGAUGUUUGAUGUUUUUACAUCCUUGUGGGAGGCUUCUCUCAUGUCCCUGCAUGGGGAGCUGGAGCUGACAGAAGAAGCUCAUCCCCUCUCUCCCCAGAUUCAAACCUGCAACCUUCAGGUCAGCUACCCAACCUUCAAGUCAGCAGUCAUGCCGGCACAAGGGUUUAACUCAUUGCACCACUGGCUGAAUAAAUGAUAUCAUGAGACUUGGGAAACCCAGAAAGAAAGAAAGACACAGUAGUAGGAACGUUAUGCAGUUUUCAUCCAGUGUCCAUACGUUUUGAAGUCUUUCAGGAAAUGGUAUUAGGCAGAAAUGCACAUGUAGGAAUUGUGGGGUUUUGCACACACACAAACAUACACAAAACACUGUUUCCAGACAGGCACAACUGUGCUGUGGCCAAGCUUGCUGUUGUUAUGCAAAAAACAGCAGUACAAAAUUUUUCCACCAGCACAAAAAAAUGGGUUCACACUUUUGUUUUGCAAUAUUUUUGUGUUCUGUGCAAGAGUUUUUUUGUUGUGUAGUAUUUUUGUUACAUUGCUGGAGUUUUGUUGGCAGAAAACAACAGUGGUGCACAUUUGUUCCUGCAUAGAAUGAUUUCCUCCCUUAAAAACUACGGGAAUGCUGGGCAAAAAUUGUGCAGAAACAUUUGAUUUCUUGGCAGUGGUGAGAAAACUGGGAGAACACCUUCUCACUUGCCAAAAUGAAACAGUAAAAUAUUAUCAUCCGUAAAAUGUAUAGAAUAUGUCAUUGUCAAUGUACAGUGUAUAGCAUGAUUGGUAAUCAUGGUUUCAUUUGGCUGCAUCUGACAAAAUGACAAAAUAUCUAAGAAUUUCCUAAGGCCCUCCAAAAAAAUCUACAGUAACCUCAACAAUGUAUCUCUUAUAAACGGAUUGCAUUGUACAUGAGAUCUUAAAUUCCACAAAGAAAAAAAAUCUGUAUAUGUCCAGGGUUCAUAUGCCUGCUGAAACAUUGAUCUCUCUGCAUAUAGCAAUACAGUGUUCCCUCACUACUUCGCGGUUCACUUUUCGUGGAUUUGCUGUUUCGUGGUUUUUCAAUAAACUCUAAAAGAUUAUUAUAAAUCAUAAAAAAUUACAAUUUACAGCCUAAGGAAGGGAGGAAGGAGAAGCCAAAGGGAGAGAAAAGGAGCCCAAGCAGCAACAAGAGGAGAAGGAGGCUAUUUACCAACACAUGAUUGGUUGAUAAAGACUUAUAAUAGUAUAUAACUACUAAAAUAAUGUGUAAAUAUUAAAAUAAAUAUAGUGUCCCUACUUUGCGGAUUUUCACUUAUUGCGGGUGGUCCUGGAACCUAACCCCCGCGAUAAGUGAGGGAACACUGUAGCUAAAUAAGGAUUACAAAUAUUUUUAAAUCUAAGAGGGCACCUCUUUAGGAUCUCUAGGUCCUCCAACACAACUCCAUGGUGAACUUUGGGAAAUUGACCAUAUCAUUGCACUGGAUGAUCUACAAAUACCUAGAUAAACUUUUUUUCUAGGAAUCUCUAGGUCCUGUAGUACAACUCUAUAUCAAUUUCUGGUGUUAGUGAUUCCUAGAGUUUAGGGAAUUUAGGUCCAACAUUAUAUAUUCUGGUAUCUUUAUUCUAGUCCAGUGAUUCUCAACUUUUAUUCCACCUGGUGUUUUGGACCUCAGCACUCAGAAUUCUUGACUGUUGGCCAAACUGGCAGGGAUUUCUGGGAAUUUUCCCAAUCUAACAGGUCUUUGAUGCUGGCCCUAGAACCUUGGUAUGCUUAUGUGGGUAUAUGUGUUCUGCCCAGGUCUUAAAUCUGUGGGAUGGUUGCAAGAGUAUGACUACAGAAGAGUGAGAAAAUAUUCUAAAUCAGAACUUAAAUAUUAACCUUAAAAUGAUUGGAUCAUGUGUGAGAGAUAUGAUGUUUGCUGUUAGUUUUAAUUGAUAGAUUAGGGCUGCAUGUUUGUCCCACUAACUUCAACAGAACAUAUUUACAAUGUAUGUGUGUGAUUGCCUUGUUAGUUGUUAAAUCUCCAAAUAAAGGAAAAGAAUUGAAACUUGGUAAACUUUUAUGUUCAGACACACUGCUUCCAAAAAAAAGGGACUGCCUUCACUGGACAACAAUUACAGCAGUUGUUCACAAAGUCAUUUUCUCAAGCUGUGUAAGCAACACACGCAAUUUUCAUGAUCAAUGGAGUUAAUGAAUAUUCUUACCUGUAGAAAAAGCAAGCAUUUUAAAUUUCUUCAAAAUGAUCAAUACCAUAUUAUUACUUAAAUGUAAAGGUAAGAGCUUCUACAAUAGCAUUCCUGCUUCCUGCCUUCUGGACCACAAGCCUGUGUUCAUGUUUACAUCAAGGUCGGCGGCAGUUGCUUAAUCGCCAGAGCAAAGAGCAGCAAAGAACAGAAAAGGGAAGCACCACCAUCAGCGCUACAUUUUUAGUUACCAUGAGUGGUUUGCUUUUCCAUCGUGAGACAACACUUCAGUCUUCUACUAGUUAGAGCGAGGAAAUGAUUAGUGCUCUAUUAACUGGUGGGGUCAUUGUUGUAUGUUGUGUAUUUAUGUGUGUUUUUUUCCUUUUCUUUCCCCCCUCCUUUUGUUGACACUGGAGUUGCAACAAAUUAAACCUUAGAAGAGAGUUGAAGAGUACGCCCUCCUGUGAUGGGACAAGGAUUGUUACUGACUGGUUGAUGCCGCAGAGGGGUGUGUGUCCUUGUUGGUUCUCUUGGACAUCUCAGUGGCUUUCAAUACCAUCGACCAUGAUAUCCGUCUGAGUCGGCUCUCUGGAAUAGGUAUUGGGGGUGCUGCACUGCAGUGGCUCCGCUCCUUCCUAGAGGGCCGUACUCACAUCGUAAAGCUGGGAGACUCCUGCUCGGACCCCUGGCCUUUGACCUGUGGGGUCCCGC